CGCCUCUUGCUUAAAUAUAAGAGGUCCCGCCUGCCCAGUGAUUUAGUUCAACGGCCGCGGUAUCUUGACCGUGCAAAGGUAGCACAAUCAAUUGUCCUCUAAAUAAGGACUAGUAUGAACGGCAUUACGAGGGUUUAACUGUCUCCCUACUUUAAUCAAUAAAAUUGAUUUUCCCGUGAAGAAGCGGGAAUAUAAAUAUAAGACGAAAAGACCCCAUGGAGCUUUAAACUUAUCAUCACUUAUCAAAAAAAUCUUAACACACAUUGAUAAAUAUGGUGGAUAGUUUUCGGUUGGGGCGACCCUGGAGAAAAACUAAUCCUCCAAGCUGUAAAAUAAAACUAUGCUAGAGUAACAACUCAAACAAUCAAAACCUUGACAAAAUGACCCAGAAUAUAUCUGAUCAACGAACCAAGUUACCCUGGGGAUAACAGCGCAAUCCAUUUCAAGAGCUCCUAUCGACAAAUGGGUUUACGACCUCGAUGUUGGAUCGGGAUGUCCUAGCAACGCAGCCGCUGCUAAGGGUUCGUUUGUUCAACGAUUAAUAUCCCA
rnacentral:rRNA from 1 species